rfam:Firmicutes bacterium CAG:536 genomic scaffold, scf71
GGACGAACCUCUGGAGAGACCAAAUUGGCGCCGAAGGAGCAACACUCUCAGGCAAAAGGACAGAGGCAUCAAU